rnacentral:rRNA from 1 species
CCUACGGGCGGCAGCAGUGGGGAAUAUUGCACGAUGGGGGAAACCCUGAUGCAGCGACGCCGCGUGAGUGAAGAAGUAAUUCGUUAUGUAAAGCUCUAUCAGCAGGGAAGAAAAUGACGGUACCUGAGUAAGAAGCCCCGGCUAACUACGUGCCAGCAGCCGCGGUAAUACGUAGGGGGCAAGCGUUAUCCGGAUUUACUGGGUGGAAAGGGAGCGUAGACGGCAGUGCAAGUCUGGAGGGAAAGGCGGGGGCUCAACCCCCGGACUGCUCUGGAAACUGUACGGCUGGAGUGCAGGAGAGGUAAGUGGAAUUCCUAGUGUAGCGGUGAAAUGCGUAGAUAUUAGGAGGAACACCAGUGGCGAAGGCGGCUUACUGGACUGUAACUGACGUUGAGGCUCGAAAGCGUGGGGAGCAAACAGGAUUAGAUACCCUUGUAGUC